GACGAACGCUGGCGGCGUGCUUAACACAUGCAAGUCGAACGGGCCCGCCCCUGUUUUUGGGGGUGGGUUGAGUGGCGAACGGGUGAGUAUCACGUGAGUAACCUGCCCCCUGCUCCUGGAUAACUGCUUGAAAGGGCGGCUAAUACGGGGUGUGCCGGCUGGUCCGCAUGGGCCUGGUCGGGAUAGUUUCAUCUUCGGGUGUUUCGGUGGGGGAUGGGCUCGCGGCCUAUCAGCUUGUUGGUGGGGUGAUGGCCCACCAAGGCGGUGACGGGUGGCCUGCCUGGGUGGGUGGGCGGCCACGCUGGGACUGAGAGCCGGCCCAGCGUCCGGCGGGAGGCAGCGGUGGGGGGUAUUGCACAAUGGGCGGAAGCCUGAUGCAGCGACGUCGCGUGAGGGAUGGAGGCCUUCGGGUUGUGAACCUCUUUCUCCGGUGGUGAAGGCCCUGCCCGUUGCGGCGGGGUUGACGGUAGCCGGGUAUGAAGCGCCGGCUAACUACGUG
rnacentral:rRNA from 1 species